UACAGAGGUCUCAAGCGUUGUUCGGAUUCAUUGGGCGUAAAGGGUGCGUAGGUGGCGCUGUAAGUCGGGUGUGAAAUUUCGGAGCUUAACUCCGAAACUGCAUUCGAUACUGCGGUGCUUGAGGACUGGAGAGGAGACUGGAAUUCAUGGUGUAGCAGUGAAAUGCGCAGAUAUCAGGAAGAACACCAAUGGCGAAGGCAGCUCUCUGGGACGGUACUGACGCUGAGACGCGAAAGCGUGGGGAGCGAACAGG
rnacentral:rRNA from 1 species